CUGGGGUCGCUAUAUGGACUUU
rnacentral:siRNA from 1 species